GGUGGGGUUCCCGAGCGGUCAAAGGGAGCAGACUGUAAAUCUGCCGCCGAAUGGCUUCGGUGGUUCGAAUCCACCCCCCACCA
rnacentral:tRNA from 1 species